rnacentral:rRNA from 1 species
GAUCCUGGCUCAGGACGAACGCUGGCGGCGCGCCUAACACAUGCAAGUCGAACGAGCGAGAGAGAGCUUGCUUUCUCAAGCGAGUGGCGAACGGGUGAGUAACGCGUGAGGAACCUGCCUCAAAGAGGGGGACAACAGUUGGAAACGACUGCUAAUACCGCAUAAGCCCACAGGUCGGCAUCGACCAGAGGGAAAAGGAGCAAUCCGCUUUGAGAUGGCCUUGCGUCCGAUUAG